rnacentral:rRNA from 1 species
AUUGAACGCUGGCGGCAUGCCUUACACAUGCAAGUCGAACGGUAACGGGCCUUCGGGUGCCGACGAGUGGCGUACGGGUGAGUAAUACAUCGGAACGUGCCCGAUCGUGGGGGAUAACGAGGCGAAAGCUUUGCUAAUACCGCAUACGAUCUACGGAUGAAAGCAGGGGACCGCAAGGCCUUGCGCGGACGGAGCGGCCGAUGGCAGAUUAGGUAGUUGGUGGGAUAAAAGCUUACCAAGCCGACGAUCUGUAGCUGGUCUGAGAGGAUGAUCAGCCACACUGGGACUGAGACACGGCCCAGACUCCUACGGGAGGCAGCAGUGGGGAAUGUUGGACAAUGGGCGCAAGCCUGAUCCAGCCAUGCCGCGUGCAGGAUGAAGGCCUUCGGGUUGUAAACUGCUUUUGUACGGAACGAAAAGCCUUCUUUUAAUACAGGAGGGUCAUGACGGUACCGUAAGAAUAAGCACCGGCUAACUACGUG